UACAGAGGUCUCAAGCGUUGUUCGGAUUCAUUGGGCGUAAAGGGUGCGUAGGUGGCGCGCUAAGUUGGGUGUGAAAUCUCGGAGCUUAACUCCGAAAUUGCAUUCGAUACUGGCGUGCUUGAGGACUGGAGAGGAGACUGGAAUUCCUGGUGUAGCGGUGGAAUGCGCAGAUAUCAGGAGGAACACCGGUGGCGAAGGCGGGUCUCUGGGCCGAAUGACUGACGCUGGAGGAGCGAAAGCCGUGGGGAGCGAACAGG
rnacentral:rRNA from 1 species